CAUUGAUUUGCAGGAAGUAGCUGAUAAUAGCUGUGUGUACAGAAACGAGGUUCAUCACUCUGUAAGUGAACGAACUCAGAUCCUAACAGAUGUGGCUUCUGACCCUACUCUUCCCAGAACCAAGGCUGUGCGUUGUGCCAAGUGCCAGCAUAGCGAGGCCGUCUUCUUCCAGGCUACGGCUAGAGGUGAAGAAGGAAUGACAUUGUUCUUUGUCUGCUGCAACCCGAAUUGUGGUCAUCGCUGGAGAGAGUAGAGUUAAGGAUAUUGAUGUUAAAAGUAGUUACCAGUAAGUGUUAGAUGUGGAAUGAUGGAAAAACCUUCUAGGAGCUAUUUAGUCGUGUUAUGAAAUCAUAAUCCCAACUUGUGUCUCACCAAACAUAAAGAUUGAAACUUUCACUUUGGGAACUGAAAGCAAACGAGAAAAAAACUGAACCCAAAA